GAUGAAGAACGCAGCGAAAUGCGAUAAGUAGUGUGAAUUGCAGAAUUCAGUGAAUCAUCGAAUCUUUGAACGCACAUUGCGCCCUUUGGUAUUCCUUAGGGCAUGCCUGUUCGAGCGUCAUUUAAACCUUCAAGCUAAGCUUGGUGUUGGGUGACUGUCCGCUUCACGGCGGACUCGCCUCAAAAUUAUUGGCGACCGGUACAUUGGCUUCGAGCGCAGCAGAAACGCGAACUCGGGCCCGUCGUAUUGGCUCCCAGAAGCUAUCUUCACAAUUUUGACCUCGGAUCAGGUAGGGAUACCCGCUGAACUUAAGCAUAUCAAUAAGCGGAGGA
rnacentral:misc_RNA from 1 species